rnacentral:rRNA from 1 species
AGCUCCAAUAGCGUAUAUUAAAGUUGUUGUGGUUAAAAAGCUCGUAGUUGGAUCUCAACAGACCUGGAUCGGUUUACUUUGUGUACUACUGAUCCAGAGCUGUGCUUUUGAUGGAGGUUUAGGGGUGCUCUUAACCGAGUGUCUCUGAGUGCCGUCAGGUUUACUUUGAAAAAAUUAGCGCGCUUCAAGCAGGCUGUUAUGCCGGAAUAUUUGUGCAUGGAAUAAUAGAAUAGGAUGUUGAUCUUAUUUUGUUGGUUUUCGAGACUCGACAUAAUGAUUAAUAGGGACAGUCGGGGGCAUUUGUAUUCAAACGACAGAGGUGAAAUUCUUGGACCGUUUGAAGACAAACUACUGCGAAAGCAUUUGCCAAGAAUGUUU